GAAGAGAAAAGAAAAGACAAGAUGAAUGUUUACAACUUGUUUCUUCACAUACUGCACCCAAAUGUUCUUUUUUAACCCUUCAACAUGAUCUUUACAUCCUGGCUCUGGACGUGUGUAAUAGGUGAUGAAAGUUGGUUCCCGGUCCCCUAAUCACCAGGUCGGAGGUAGUAAACAGAGGUGAACUGCACUUGUUCAAACUGCUUUUUCUCCAAAGCACAGCUUCCCACUGGCCCUGUAGAGGCAGGGUAAGAUUCAGGCUCCUGGAGAGACAGAUCGGGUCAUGUGUACUUCUCCAUCCCUGAACCUGAACGAGGAUUGGAGCUGCAGCCAUGUGGACCACAGUAGAUUGAAUCUGCGCUUCUCACAGCAUGCCUCACCUUCCCAGCAGCAUCCCCUUGUCAGGAACAGAUUGGAAAUACAAAUGCUUAGAGCUGGGGUUCUAAGGUCAGUGGCAGAGCACUUCCCUGACAUGUGGGAGUCCCUGGGUUUCA